UAAAUUUAUGUGAAUUCUUUCUCAGCACAUACUUUGACUACCAUGUCAGUACUAAUCAAUUAGCACUAUUACAUAGGUGCUUUUAUGUACUUCGUGCAUUACUGCUAGUCCCCAUGUAUAUAUAUG
rnacentral:ncRNA from 1 species